UGGAGAGUUUGAUCCUGGCUCAGGACGAACGCUGGCGGCGUGCCUAAUACAUGCAAGUCGAGCGAAUCAAUAGGAGCUUGCUCCUGUUGGUUAGCGGCGGACGGGUGAGUAACACGUGGGCAACCUGCCUGUAAGACUGGGAUAACACCGGGAAACCGGUGCUAAUACCGGAUAAUCCUUUUCCUCUCAUGAGGAAAAGCUGAAAGUCGGUUUCGGCUGACACUUACAGAUGGGCCCGCGGCGCAUUAGCUAGUUGGUGAGGUAACGGCUCACCAAGGCGACGAUGCGUAGCCGACCUGAGAGGGUGAUCGGCCACACUGGGACUGAGACACGGCCCAGACUCCUACGGGAGGCAGCAGUAGGGAAUCUUCCACAAUGGACGAAAGUCUGAUGGAGCAACGCCGCGUGAGCGAUGAAGGCCUUCGGGUCGUAAAGCUCUGUUGUUAGGGAAGAACAAGUACCGGAGUAACUGCCGGUACCUUGACGGUACCUAACCAGAAAGCCACGGCUAACUACGUGCCAGCAGCCGCGGUA
rnacentral:rRNA from 1 species